AUUGAACGCUGGCGGCAUGCUUUACACAUGCAAGUCGAACGGUAACACGCCGCGAGGUGCUGACUAGUGGCGACCGGGUGAGUAAUGCUUAGGAAUGUACCCCGUCCUUGUUGAUCACUACUCGAAACGGUAGCUCAUACCGCAUACGAGCUAUGAUUGAAAACGGGGGAGCGUAAGGGCUCACGCGAUUUUUGCGGCCGAUGUUAGAUUAGGUAGUUGGUGGGGUAAAGGAUCACAAAGCCAACGAUCUGUAGCUGGUCUGAGCGGACGACCAGCAACACUGGGACUGAGACACGGCCCAGACUCCUACGGGAGGCAGCAGUGGGGAAUUUUGGACAAUGGGCGCAAGCCUGAUCCAGCAAUGACGCGUGAAGGAAGAAGGCCUUCGGGUUGUAAACUGCUUUUGUAAGGAAAGAAAAGGCUCUGGUUAAAACCCGGGGGUAAUGACGGUACCGGAAGAAAAAGCAACGGCUAACUACGUG
rnacentral:rRNA from 1 species